GAUCAAGUGCCAUAAGGGCGUUCGGUGGAUGCCUUGGCAUCGAGAGGCGAUGAAGGACGUGGUACGCUGCGAUAAGCUGUGGGGAGGUGCGAACAACCUUUGAUCCGCAGAUUUCCGAAUGGGGAAACCCACUUUCGAUCAGUGUUAUCUCGAGGCUGUCCGUGCAUGCGGAAGGGUCUCGGGCUUCGGUUCGGGGCGCAAGCUUCGAGCUAACACUGGUCAUCAAGAAAGUAUUCUAUCCCUGAAUACAUAGGGGAUUGAAAGCGAACCCAGGGAACUGAAACAUCUAAGUACCUGGAGGAAAGGAUAUCAACGAAACUCCGUGAGUAGUGGCGAGCGAAAGCGGAUCAGGCCAAUGCUUCCUGAAGUCUAAGCGGAACCGUCUGGAAAGUCGGGCAUUAUGGGUGAUAGCCCCGUACGCGUGUUGACCAUGGAAGAUUUGAGUAGGGCGGGACACGUGCAAUCCUGUCUGAAUAUGGGGGGACCACCCUCCAAGCCUAAGUACUCCUCGAUGACCGAUAGCGAACUAGUACCGUGAGGGAAAGGUGAAAAGCACCCCGACAAGGGGAGUGAAACAGCACCUGAAACCGAAUGCCUACAAACAGUCGGAGCCCGCAAGGGUGACGGCGUACCUUUUGUAUAAUGGGUCAGCGACUUAAAGUAACGAGCAAGCUUAAGCCGAUAGGUGUAGGCGCAGCGAAAGCGAGUCUGAAUAGGGCGUUCAGUUCGUUGCUUUAGACCCGAAACCGGGUGAUCUAGCCAUGAGCAGGUUGAAGGUGGGGUAACACCCACUGGAGGACCGAACCGGUGCCUGUUGAAAAAGUCUCGGAUGACUUGUGGCUAGGGGUGAAAGGCCAAUCAAACUCGGAAAUAGCUGGUUCUCCGCGAAAGCUAUUUAGGUAGCGCCUCGGACGAAUACCUCAGGGGGUAGAGCACUGGAUGGGCUAGGGGGUCUUACCGAUCUACCAAACCUAACCAAACUCCGAAUACCUGAGAGUACUAUCCGGGAGACACACGGCGGGUGCUAACGUCCGUCGUGGAGAGGGAAACAACCCUGACCUUCAGCUAAGGUCCCCAAAUUGUGGUUAAGUGUGAAAGGAUGUGGGAAUCCAUAAACAACCAGGAGGUUGGCUUAGAAGCAGCCAUCCUUUAAAGAAAGCGUAACAGCUCACUGGUCUAGGGUUCCUGCGCCGAAAAUGUAACGGGGCUCAAACCACAUACCGAAGCUAAGGGCUCGCAAGAGCGGUAGCGGAGCGUUCUGUAAGUCUGCGAAGGAGGACCCGUGAGGGCCUCUGGAGAUAUCAGAAGUGCGAAUGCUGACAUGAGUAACGCAUAACAGUGUGAGAGACACUGUCGCCGAAAGUCCAAGGGUUCCUGCGUAAAGCUAAUCUGCGCAGGGUUAGCCGGCCCCUAAGGCGAGGCCGAAAGGCGUAGUCGAUGGGAAACACGUGAAUAUUCGUGUGCCAGUGGGUAGUGACGGAUCGAAACGGUAGUUCGACCUUAUUGGAUUGGUCGGGCUGCUUGGAGGUUCCAGGAAAUAGCUCCCACAUUAGACCGUACCCAGAACCGACACAGGUGGACUGGUAGAGUAUACCAAGGCGCUUGAGAGAACUAUGUUGAAGGAACUCGGCAAUUUACCUCCGUAACUUCGGGAUAAGGAGGCCUUGGCUUCACGCAAGUGGGGUCGAGGGGCACAGACCAGGGGGUGGCGACUGUUUACCUAAAACACAGGGCUCUGCGAAGUCGCAAGACGACGUAUAGGGUCUGACGCCUGCCCGGUGCCGGAAGGUUAAGAGGAGGGGUGCAAGCUCCGAAUCGAAGCCCCGGUAAACGGCGGCCGUAACUAUAACGGUCCUAAGGUAGCGAAAUUCCUUGUCGGGUAAGUUCCGACCUGCACGAAUGGCGUAACGACUUCCCCGCUGUCUCCAACAUAGACUCAGUGAAAUUGAAUUCCCCGUGAAGAUGCG
rnacentral:rRNA from 1 species